rnacentral:rRNA from 1 species
AUUGAACGCUGGCGGCAGGCCUAACACAUGCAAGUCGAACGGUAACAGGAAGCAGCUUGCUGCUUUGCUGACGAGUGGCGGACGGGUGAGUAAUGUCUGGGAAACUGCCCGAUGGAGGGGGAUAACUACUGGAAACGGUAGCUAAUACCGCAUAACGUCGCAAGACCAAAGAGGGGGACCUUAGGGCCUCUUGCCAUCGGAUGUGCCCAGGUGGGAUUAGCUAGUAGGUGGGGUAACGGCUCACCUAGGCGACGAUCCCUAGCUGGUCUGAGAGGAUGACCAGCCACACUGGAACUGAGACACGGUCCAGACUCCUACGGGAGGCAGCAGUGGGGAAUAUUGCACAAUGGGCGCAAGCCUGAUGCAGCCAUGCCGCGUGUAUGAAGAAGGCCUUCGGGUUGUAAAGUACUUUCAGCGGGGAGGAAGGGAGUAAAGUUAAUACCUUUGCUCAUUGACGUUACCCGCAGAAGAAGCACCGGCUAACUCCGUG